rfam:Bacillus sp. WF146 contig084, whole genome shotgun sequence.
ACGACCUUUAAGUCAGUCCCGAGAGGCUGGCAAGGCGGCUGGGCGCUGUUUCACCUGCGCACAGGGAAGCGAAUCACAAGCUUCUUGCCUACGCCUGCCUUCACGGCCAGCACGGCAAGAAGCUUUUUUUAU